CGUGCAGCCGGGAAUGCAAGUCAGAUGUGAAAUCCAUGGGCUUAACCCAUGAACUGCAUUUGAAACUGUAUUUCUUGAGUACUGGAGAGGCAAUCGGAAUUCCUAGUGUAGCGGUGAAAUGCGUAGAUAUUAGGAGGAACACCAGUGGCGAAGGCGGAUUGCUGGACAGCAACUGACGGUGAGGCGCGAAGUGUGGGAGCAAACA
rnacentral:rRNA from 1 species